CAAAUAGCGUAUAUUAAAGUUGUUGCAGUUAAAAAGCUCGUAGUUGAAUUUCGGGGUUAGUAGGUUGGUCAUGCCUCUGGUAUGUACUGGUCUCACUGAUUCCUCCUUCCUGAUGAACCGUAAUGCCAUUAAUUUGGUGUUGCGGGGAAUUUGGACUGUUACUUUGAAAAAAUUAGAGUGUUUAAAGCAGGCUAACGCUUGAAUACAUUAGCAUGGAAUAAUGAAAUAGGACGUUCGAUCCUAUUUUGUUGGUUUCUAGGAUUGACGUAAUGAUUAAUAGGGAUAGUUGGGGGCAUUAGUAUUCAAUUGUCAGAGGUGAAAUUCUUGGAUUUAUUGAAGACUAACUACUGCGAAAGCAUUUGCCAAGGAUGUUUUCAUUAAUCAAGAACGAAAGUUAGGGGAUCGAAGACGAUCAGAUACCGUCGUAGUCUUAACCAUAAACUAUGCCGACUAGGGAUCGGAUGAUGUUAAUUUUUUAAUGACUCAUUCGGCGCCUUACG
rnacentral:rRNA from 1 species